GUCGGACGGGAUCUAUGGCUUCGGCUUUAGUGAGAGUGGCGGACGGGUGCGUAACGCGUGAGCAACCUACCCAUGCCAGGGGGACAGCCCGGGGAAACUCGGGUUAAUCCCGCAUGUUGCGUUGGGGUCGCAUGACCUUUACGCUAAACAAUUUCGGGGCAUGGAUGGGCUCGCGUGGCAUUAGCUAGUCGGCGGGGUAACGGCCCACCGAGGCGAUGAUGCCUAGGGGCCCUGAGAGGGGGAUCCCCCACACCGGUACUGAGACACGGACCGGACUCCUACGGGAGGCAGCAGUAGGGAAUAUUGGUCAAUGGGCGGAAGCCUGAACCAGCCAUGCCGCGUGCGGGACGAAGGCCCUACGGGUCGUAAACCGCUUUUCCACGGGAACAGUCCCCGCCACGUGUGGCGGGUCGAGGGUACCGUGGGAAUAAGGAUCGGCUAACUCCGUGCCAGCAGCCGCGGUAAUACGGAGGAUCCGAGCGUUAUCCGGAUUCAUUGGGUUUAAAGGGUGCGCAGGCGGCCUAUUAAGCAGGGGGUGAAAUAUGGCGGCUCAACCGCCUUACUGCCUCCUGAACUGUUGGGCUUGGAUGCCGUUGGGGGCGGCGGAAUGGGGCAAGUAGCGGUGAAAUGCAUAGAUAUGCCCCGGAACACCGAUCGCGGAGGCAGCUGCCCAAACGGUCAUCGACGCUGAUGCACGAAAGCGUGGGGAUCGAACAGGAUUAGAUACCCUGGUAGUCCACGCCGUAAACGAUGAUGGCUCGGUGCCGGCGACAGACUGUCGGUGCCCAAGCGAA
rnacentral:rRNA from 1 species